rnacentral:lncRNA from 1 species
AUCAUCUAGACUUUUCACAGUUGUCAGGUUUUUUUUAGGUUUAAUUUACGUACAGCAAAAUGCACAGAUCCUAAGUGAACAACCCAAUGAUUUUUUAUAUGUGACAACACUGGUAUAACCACCACCCAAAUUGAAAUAUAGAACAUUUCAGUCACCCCAGUAAGUUCACAGAUUCUGAUCAGAGGCACGCAGAGGGCAGGUGAUGUGUGGCGAUAUUUGGCCCAGAUAAAAUGGCUCAUGAAUAGCAAGAGUUGGGUAAUCACUGAUGCGGGAGCCUCGGGUCAGUGGCUCCAGUUCUCUGCUUCCCUUUAUAGCAAAAUUUCUCAAAAAAAUAAUCUCUACCAGCG